rnacentral:rRNA from 1 species
AACCUGGUUGAUCUUGCCAGUAGUCAUAUGCUUGUCUCAAAGAUUAAGCCAUGCAAGUGAAAGUAUAUGCACAUUUAUUGCAGAAACUGCGAACGGCUCAUUAAAACAGUUAUAAUCUACUUGACAUUUUAUUAUAAGGAUAACUACGGAAAAGCUGUAGCUAAUACUUGUUAAGUACUUUUACUCCCCGGAGUAAUUGUAUGUAUUUGUUAAGACCCCUAAGAAAAAAUGAUAUUAAAGGAAUUAUAACAAAGAAGCAACACAUAAUAUAAUUAUUCAGUGUGUAUCAAUCGAGUUUCUGACCUAUCAGCUUUUGAUGUUAGGGUAUUGACCUAACAUGGCUUUGACGGGUAACGGGGAAUUAGAGUUCGAUUCCGGAGAGGGAGCCUGAGAAAUAGCUACCACAUCUAAGGAAGGCAGCAGGCGCGUAAAUUACCCAAUUCUAAAUAAGAGAGGUAGUGACAAGAAAUAACAAUAUAAGGCCAAAUUUUGGUUUUAUAAUUGGAAUGAUGGGAAUUUAAAACCUUCCCAAAAAUCAAUUGGAGGGCAAGUCUGGUGCCAGCAGCCGCGGUAAUUCCAGCUCCAAUAGCGUAUAUUAAAAUUGUUGCAGUUAAAACGCUCGUAGUUGAACUUCAAGGGUAUAAUUAUUUUAAGCAACUCACUUGGAAAAAAUCAUGACUUCUGUCACUGCUUUUAUCCUUGUUGCAGUUCUUUUAAUACAGGGCCCUUUGAGAGCCCAUUAAUUUAUGACUGGGUUUCUCGUUACUUUGAGUAAAUUAGAGUGUUUAAAGCAAACAGAUAAAGCGUAUUUUACUGUGUUUGAAUACUAUAGCAUGGAAUAACAACAUUGAAUAGGUCAAAAGUUUUUGAAAAAUUUUUCUUAUUUUGGCUUAGAUACAGUUAAUAGGAGUAGCUUGGGGGCAUUUGUAUUCAGAUGUCAGAGGUGAAAUUCUUAGAUUUUCUGGAGACAAACAACUGCGAAAGCAUUUGCCUAAAAUACUUCCAUUAAUCAAGAACGAAAGUUAAGGGAGUGAAGACGAUCAGAUACCGUCGUAAUCUUAACCAUAAACUAUGCCGACUAAGUGUUGGAUGAAAAUUUAUAAAUAAAACUAUCUUCUUUAAAGGAGUAGUUUUUUAGAUGCUUCCUUCAGUACCUUAUGAGAAAUCAAAGUCUUUGGGUUCUGGGGCGAGUAUUCGCGCAAGCGAGAAAGUUAAAAGAAUUGACGGAAGGGCACCACCAGGC